rnacentral:snRNA from 1 species
GGAUGUGAGGGCGAUCUGGCUGCGACAUCCAUCUCCCCAUUGAUAGGCAGGGUUGAUUCAUUCAGCUGAUCUGGCUGGCUAGGCGGUGUUCCCUUCCUCCCUCAGCACUCCGUGUGUGUCUUCCCUGAAGCUGUGCACUCCGUCACAUAGGACAAACACCUUGGAUAGAGGAAGACCAUUUCCUCAGUGAAGGUAUACAAGGAGUAGCUGCAGUCCCCUGCUAGAACCUUCAAACAGGCUCUUACCAUCAAUGUUUUAUUUGUUAUUGUAAGACAGGGUCUCACUAAAUUUACUAAAUUGCCCAGGCUGGAUUUGAACUUGUGAUCCUCCUGCUU